AUUGAACGCUGGCGGCAUGCUUUACACAUGCAAGUCGAACGGUAACAGGCCGCAAGGUGCUGACGAGUGGCGAACGGGUGAGUAAUGCAUCGGAACGUGCCCAGUCGGGGGGGAUAACGCAGCGAAAGCUGCGCUAAUACCGCAUACGAUCUCUGGAUGAAAGCGGGGGACCGAAAGGCCUCGCGCGAUUGGAGCGGCCGAUGUCAGAUUAGGUAGUUGGUGGGGUAAAGGCCCACCAAGCCAACGAUCUGUAGCUGGUCUGAGAGGACGACCAGCCACACUGGGACUGAGACACGGCCCAGACUCCUACGGGAGGCAGCAGUGGGGAAUUUUGGACAAUGGGCGCAAGCCUGAUCCAGCAAUGCCGCGUGCAGGAAGAAGGCCUUCGGGUUGUAAACUGCUUUUGUACGGAACGAAACGGUCCGGGCUAAUACCCUGGGCUAAUGACGGUACCGUAAGAAUAAGCACCGGCUAACUACGUGCCAGCCGCCGCAGUAAGAC
rnacentral:rRNA from 1 species